rnacentral:tRNA from 1 species
GGGAAUAUGGCUCAGUGGUAGAGCUCUUGCCUAGCAUGAAUGAGGCGCUGUGUUCAAUCCCUUUUUCUA